GUCUCCGUGGUUUAGUGAGGAGAACACCCGACUAUGAAGUGGUAGAACUCGGGUUCGAGCCCCGGUGAAGGCA